rnacentral:rRNA from 1 species
GAUCCUGGCUCAGGAUAAACGCUGGCGGCGCACAUAAGACAUGCAAGUCGAACGAACUUAAUCGAUUCUUUUAGAUUCGAAGCGGUUAGUGGCGGGCUGGUGAGUAACACGUAAGCAACCUACCUAUUAGAGGGGAAUAACAGUGAGAAAUCACUGCUAAAACCGCAUAUGCCGUGAAUAUCGCAUGAUAAAAACGGGAAAAGAGCAAUCUGCUAAUAGAUGGGCUUGCGUCUGAUUAG